rnacentral:rRNA from 1 species
UACGAAGGGGGCUAGCGUUGCUCGGAAUCACUGGGCGUAAAGCGCACGUAGGCGGAUUGUUAAGUCAGGGGUGAAAUCCUGGAGCUCAACUCCAGAACUGCCUUUGAUACUGGCGAUCUCGAGUCCGGGAGAGGUGAGUGGAGCUGCGAGUGUAGAGGUGAAAUUCGUAGAUAUUCGCAAGAACACCAGUGGCGAAGGCGGACUCACCUGGCCCGGUACUGACGCUGAGGUGCGAAAGCGUGGGGAGCAACAGG